rnacentral:piRNA from 1 species
GUGAAGAAAGGAAGUGUGACAGUAGCUA